UACGAGGGGGGCAAGCGUUGUUCGGAAUUAUUGGGCGUAAAGGGCGCGUAGGCGGUGCGGUAAGUCACCUGUGAAAACUCUGGGCUCAACUCAGAGCCUGCAGGCGAAACUGCCGUGCUUGAGUGUGGGAGAGGUGCGUGGAAUUCCCGGUGUAGCGGUGAAAUGCGCAGAUAUCGGGAGGAACACCGGUGGCGAAGGCGGUUCUCUAGGCCUGACCUGACGCUGAGGAGCGAAAGCAUGGGGAGCGAACAGG
rnacentral:rRNA from 1 species